rnacentral:rRNA from 1 species
GUUUGAUCCUGGCUCAGAAUGAACGUUGGCGGCGUGGAUUAGGCAUGCAAGUCGGACGGGCCGCAAGGCCAGUGGCGUAAGGGUGAGUAAGGCGACGGCAAUCAUCCCCACGGUUGGGUAUAGCCGCGAGAAAUCGCGGGUAAUCCCCAGCGACGCACGGUGUCGGCAUCGACAUCGUGCCAAAGGCUCGCCGCCGUGGGACGAGCCGUCGUGGUAUUAGGUCGUUGGCGGGGUAACGGCCCACCAAGCCU